rnacentral:rRNA from 1 species
UACGGAGGGGGCUAGCGUUGUUCGGAAUUACUGGGCGUAAAGCGCACGUAGGUGGCUUUGCAAGUUAGAUGUGAAAGCCCGGGGCUCAACUCCGGAAUUGCCUUUAAAACUGCAUCGCUAGAAUUGUGGAGAGGUAAGUGGAAUUCCGGGUGUAGAGGUGAAAUUCGUAGAUAUUCGGAAGAACACCAGUGGCGAAGGCGACUUACUGGUCACAUAUUGACGCUGAGGUGCGAAAGCGUGGGGAGCAAACAGG